GGGAAGCUCCUCACAGCCGCUGGCUCGAACAGAUGGAAUGUGGCGACGGUUGGGAAGCUGAGAAGACUCCUCUAAUGGCUGGAAUUCAUUUGCUGUAAAGGAAGUGGAGGGAUGUUGAGAAGUUGAAGAUUUGGGCAGAUGAUCGGAUGCCGCUUGGAAUACGUGGGACGCGGACGGUUUGGGAGCUGUUCAGCUGCUGGGAUGAACCGAACGGAUGCAUGGAAUACGUGGAUGGCCGUUGUGGAUGAGCUGGGAUCUUCAUGAUGCGGGCACUAAUGCUAGCUGAAUCAGCUGGACGCAGUGAUAUGGAUUGCAUGAUGGAUGACGGGCAACGUGAGGCUCAGAUGAGACGCUAGGGAUUUGUUAAGCACGG
rnacentral:lncRNA from 1 species